CCUACGGGUGGCUGCAGUGAGGAAUAUUGGUCAAUGGACGAGAGUCUGAACCAGCCAAGUAGCGUGAAGGAUGACUGCCUUAUGGGUUGUAAACUCUUUUUAUAUGGGAUUAAAAUGUUCCUCGCGUGGGAUUCUGCAUGUACUAUAUGAAUAAGGACCGGCUAACUCCGUGCCAGCAGCCGAGGUAAUACGGAGGUUCCGAGCGUUAUCCGGAUUUAUUGAGUUUAAAGGGAGCGUAGGUGGAUUGUUAAGUCAGUUGUGAAAGUUUGCGGCUCAACCGUAAAAUUGCAGUUGAAACUGGCAGUCUUGAGUACAGUAGAGGUGGGCGGAAUUCGUGGUGUAGCGGUGAAAUGCUUAGAUAUCACGAAGAACUCCAGUUGCGAAGGCAGCUCACUGGACUGCAACUGACACUGAGGCUCGAAAGUGUGGGUAUCAAACAGGAUUAGAUACCCUUGUAGUC
rnacentral:rRNA from 1 species